ACGAACGCUGGCGGCGUGCUUAACACAUGCCAGUCGAACGGAAAGGCCCUGCUUUUGUGGGGUGCUCGAGUGGCGAACGGGUGAGUAACACGUGAGUAACCUGCCCUUGACUUUGGGAUAACUUCAGGAAACUGGGGCUAAUACCGGAUAGGAGCUCCUGCUGCAUGGUGGGGGUUGGAAAGUUUCGGCGGUUGGGGAUGGACUCGCGGCUUAUCAGCUUGUUGGUGGGGUAGUGGCUUACCAAGGCUUUGACGGGUAGCCGGCCUGAGGGGGUGACCGGCCACAUUGGGACUGAGAUACGGCCCAGACUCCUACGGGAGGCAGCAGUGGGGAAUAUUGCACAAUGGGCGGAAGCCUGAUGCAGCAACGCCGCGUGCGGGAUGACGGCCUUCGGGUUGUAAACCGCUUUCGCCUGUGACGAAGCGUGAGUGACGGUAAUGGGUAAAGAAGCACCGGCUAACUACGUG
rnacentral:rRNA from 1 species